ensembl:rRNA 5S_rRNA 5S ribosomal RNA
UACUGAAGUCAUCUUGGAGAUCCCCAUCUUAUCUAAUCUUGGAAGUGUAGCAGGAUUGGUCCUGGUUAGUUUUUGGAUGGGAGACUGCCAUCCAAAAACUGGGAGCACAGUAG